rnacentral:lncRNA from 1 species
UUUGUGUUUUUUUCUUAAAUUUCUUUUUGCAUAUUGGGUUAUUUGUAUUUGCAUUUUUACGUACCAACUGUUGACUUUCGACUUUUAAUUUAACAUUAACAUUACAAUUUAUUUAGCUUUUGGUCGUUUGGCUGUCUGCACUUGCAAUUGUUUAUAGUUGUUGUUAUUAUUUUCUUUUUCAAGUAUGUUUUAAUACAUGUAUAUAGGGAUAUUUCAUAUAAACUUUACUUAACGCAAUUGCUUUAAUCGAGCCAAUGGACAAUGCUAGUUUCGUCAUUUGAAUUCUUUUCGAAUUAAAUUUUCUUUUAAUGUUGUGCUAAAGGACGUUGGUAAAAUAAACUCUUGAACUCAGCUGAAUGAUAUUGUAAUUAUUGCAAUUUACUGUUAAAUAUUGCGAAUAAUAAUUGAAGCAUCGUCUCUAAAACCGUUAAACUUGCACUCAAAAUAAAUGUUUUUCUUUUUUACAUUUUGCAAUUUGUAUUAAUGUAUGUAUUUAUUAUUAUUAUUAUUCUUACUUUUUUCGACUAAUUUUUAACAUUUAAAACUUGAUCACUUUCAUUUUAAAUAAAUAUUUUAAUAAUAUUGUUCUUCAGCUGUGUGGAAAUGCAUUCAAAGUAUCGGUAUAGUUGGUAUAGAUGUGGUUUUCACUUUUCCUCAACUUUUAUUUUUAAUUUAAUACAAACAUUUUCACUUGGCGAAGGUAUAUGUUUAUAUGUUAAUAUUCUUUUUCUUUUAAUUCUUCUAUUUCGCAUAAGUUUUUCUUUCUUUAUUUGGUUUUAAAUUUAGCCUUAGUAGUGGAUAGUAGGAGUUUUUAAUCGUUUCCUUUUUUCUGUUUUUGUAUUUUCUUUAGUAAAGGUACAUUAAAAGUUUAUAAUGCUGCUUUGGUGAUAGAAAAGUAGUGAUUCUUACUUUACAAUUAUUUGUUUAUAAUUGCGCGCAAUAGUCAUAGUAAAUAUGAAUAUAUGUAUGUAUGUAUGAAUGUAUAUGUUUGUAGUUUACUACUUAAGUAUGCUUUUAGUUAUUAAAAUGCAUGCAUGUAUGUAUGUAUGUAUGUAUGUAUGUAGACAACAGAUUUGAAGCUAAUAACAAUAGUUUGUCUUGCUUUCAUUUAGCCAUUCAUUUCUCUCUAUUACAGUUAUAUUUUAUAUUGGUUAAAUUCGGACUCUCCAGAAAGCUCGUUCUAAACCAAUGCAAUUUUAAAGAGUUAACUAAUUUAAUUUAAUUUUCACUUAACAAAACAUUAGGGUGCCCGUUGUUUGCCAAGGUGCUUUUUUUAAGGAUUCCGUAAUUUUUAAACUUAAAACUUAAAAUACACGACCAAACGCAACAUUUUAUAUUCAUAUUAAUUCUUGGUUCUAAGAAAUUAAAUCUUCCAUACAAAUUCCAAGGGACUUUUCCUAUUUUAACAAUUAUUUAUUUUCCUCGUGAACGAGUAAACUUACAACCAUGAAAGGCAUAUAGAGUUUUUCAAAAGAUAUUCGGGAUUCGGUUCUAUUAUAUAUGCAUAUGCGAGCGCUAUUGGUUGUCGCUGCAUUUCCUAACAAACAUAAACUUGUGUGUGUAUUAUGAAGAGAAUGAACUUAUCAAAAACCCGAUUAAGACCAUUUAUGUAGAGCGUUUAAUUCUGUACAAGAAUAUGAGCCUCUCAUAGUUGCAAAUUUGACGAGAAAGUAAAAUAUAAUUAAAAUAAAGAUUCAAAGUUAAAAGUCUUAUUUCUUCUUUAAGCUACCAAAGUUGGCUGCAAGAAAAAAAUCAACUUGGUAAAUAGCGGAAAGCCUAAUACGCAUACAACUCCAAGUCCGUACGAUGUUAUUCAAAAUGAACAUACGACGAUAAAUGUACAUAUAUAAAUGAGUUGGUGCAUAUGUAUUUCCUAAAUUGAAGUCUUUUGUAGUUAAACUUCUGCAUGGCUCAUAAUAGUUACAGAGAGAGCAAUGGAUAAUUAAGUUUUGAGAUAAAUUUCCUUCCAAGAGCCAGAGUGAUACAUUGGCCGUGGGAAACUGGAAGGAUAACAUUGCUGAUCUGCAAGUAUUAUGUUGAAAGGGCAAAAAUUAAUAGAAACGUGAAAAAUCCCGUCUUCCGUAACUAAAUACAGUUGAAACUCUCUAUAACGAAGUUCUCUUUAUUGCGAAGCAAUUAUAAGAACACUGUGUUUUGGGUCUACUUUGUAUGUAAAAUAAUCUCAAUAUAACGAAAUCCAGAGCACCAGCUAUCUCAGAUUCAGAUGAAUACGAAGAGGAAUCUGACGAUAUUGUGAAACCCUUACCCACAUAUGGACAACUUUCUUGCAGGUUUCCGUACCUAUUUGGAAAUGGAAACCAACGUACCAAAUACCGUGUUUACUUCUCUAAAUUUAUUGGAAAAUUAUAUUGAAGAAGAAACGUGGAUAAAUGUACUUCAACCCAAAAUAACUGAUUACUACAAAUAAAAAAUGUUAAAAGGAA